rnacentral:lncRNA from 1 species
GCGUGAAUUCCGACGACCGGCGCGUGGUGGCUCUGUCAGCACCGGCGCCGGUCCCAAUCUCUGUCUUGCUUCAUCGUUGUCUGGUUGUAGUUUGGUUCGUGACUGUGACUCCAUUUUUGAGAGAUAUGCUUCGAGCAAAUCAAUGAAACUUCCAGAUCUGUUGCAGAUUUUUGAUAAAAGCUCCGAAUCUGGUGAUUAACGGUGUGGCCUUGCUACAAAGCUCUUGUUAUACAAAUCUCAGCCUGGUUAGUUUUGUUGUGUUGCAUAUCUCUGGACUUCUUGUGUGGAUCUCUCUAUUUCAGGUUUAUCUAAAUGGGUAGAGGUUUCUAUGGAUUCCUAUGAUCCGUCUUUAUGCCGUUUGUGGCCUGUGCUCAUUGUGCUCCGGAUUUGGUGGGCUUGGCUCCUAGUUUCUUGUUCAGAUCUCGUGGAGAUUUGAUUUGGUUGUGGCUUCAUUCCUUGGCGUUUAUCAGUCGUGUGUACGACUCAGCCGUGUCCGGAGGUUGAC